GCGACUGUUGCCUUGUUUACCUGCCUAGCGACCUGACGUCUGCCUUGGUUAUCUGUUUCAUCGUAGCGCCGCAGAAUCCCCGGUGCUGUAGCAGCCCUUUCACCAGCUGAGUGUGCACACUGCUAUUGGCAAUCAGAGCUUGGGGCUCGUGACUUAACGCUGCUAAUCAUAGGUGCGAAGAACGGUCCGUGGGAGCAGUGCCUCUGGCGGUGGUGGGUCCCUUGGUGUGUGUGCAGUGGCUGUGUGUUCACCGAGUGUGGUCAUUUCCUUUAUGUGUGUGAACUCGGCACGUGUGAUUGGGGUGUUUUCCACGGAUGCUCAUUGCUGGAGCCACUAGCCUAGCCACUAGGUAAGAUUCCGCACUAUCCCUUUCCCUUUUUGAUGAGUGUGUGUUUUGAUUGGAGUGUAAGGAUUGUGUUUUGUUGUUGAUUUUGUGUAUUUGUUUACUGUGAUAAAUUAGCUUAUAGGUUUGCAGUGAAGACCAAACACACGUGUGUGUGUGUGUGUGUGUGUGUGUGUGUGUGUGUGUGUGUGUGUGUGUGUGUGUGUGUGUGUGUGUGUGUGUGUGUGUGUGUGUGUGUGUGUGUGUGUGUGUGUGUGUGUGUGUGUGUGUGUGUGUGUGUGUGUGUGUGUGUGUGUGUGUGUGUGUGUGUGUGCUUUUAAAAAGAAAUAAAAUUCUCUUUUUGUACUGGACCACUGUCUCUGGCUAAUCAAUCAACGAACUUGAGUGCCUUGUUAGAAUAAACUAACUAAUUCUUUGGGUGUAAAUCCCAUCGUGGCGUAGUCUGCUAAUUGUCUGAGUUUAACCCCUGUUAUUUGUAUUCCACCUGCCACACAGGCUUGCGAUUAAUAACAAACUAUAAUAAGGAUACUCAGAAAGAUUCUGCAUUUGUGCGAAACCACAAAUAACACCCCACCAUUGAUUAAAAAGGUACAAAUACCAGUUUUUAAAAGAUGAAUGUGACGAGGAAGAGGAUGUGCAUUUGUCUAUGUAAACAUGCGCUGUAGACGAAAGUCUUUUACUGUAGCACCGCAUCUCGCUGUUUUCUUUCAGUCUCUUGUAGGCGUGCAGUGUUUUUAGACGCCGUGUUUAAACCAAACUGUGAAUACAUUUGUCUUGAGACAUUCUGCAUUCUGUUAUAUUCGUUCCACUGCGUCUUGCUUUAAUCACGUGUGCGGUCUGAACUGAUUCUGACAUCUUUUUAAAACCCCAAGAGGUUAACUAAAGACUAACCAUAAGUUAACUAAAAAUAACUUUUAAAAGAUCUAUAUGAAGCAACUUUUCAGCAGACGAAUUCACUCAUUUGGGUGUUCUUGGUUCUAGUAUGAGUAGAUAGUUAAAAGUGUACUCAGUUAUUUUUUUUCUCCUAAAGAAAAUAGUAACUUUGAAGCAUGAGAUAUAAAAUCAUGACCACUUGGUCACCUUAUAAAAGUAGUUUUAUUCUACAUAAAGAGGGUCCCCUCAUGGGGGCUGCCAUGUUAGGAUCACACGACCUGCUGAAUACUACUCCUUUAUUUCUGUAAUCUCCCUGUUAUUGGACACUUUCACUAAUGGAUUAAGUUGGCUGACUGUGAAUGGAGAAUUUCUGCAAUGGCAUCUGUAACUUAAUUGUUUACCCAAACAUGAAAAUACUCAUCAUUUACUCACCCUCAGCCUAUAUUACUUUCUUGCUGCUGCUGAACACAAACCGAGAUUUUUAGAAGAAUAUCUCAGCUCUGUUGGUACAUUCAUUGCAAGUUAAUGGUGUCCUGAACUUUGAAGCUCCAAAAAGGACAUAAAGGCAGCAGAAAAAAAAAUCUGCAGAAAUCAAUCUCAACUCCAGUGAUUAAUCCAUGUCUUCAGAAGUGCUAUGAUAGGUAUGGGUGAAAAACAAAUCAAUUUUAAAGUCCUUUUUUACUAUAAAUUAUCCUCCCUGCCAAGUAUGUAACAAUAUACUCAAAUAAUGUGAGUCGCCAAAAACAAAUUUAAGUAUGUGAAAGUGGAGAUUUAUAGUAAAAUAAAAGUACAUAAAUAUUUAUCUGUUUCUCACCCACACCAUAUCAUAUCACUUCUGAAGACAUGGAUUAUACCACUGGAGUCACUUUUAUUCUGCCUUUUUAGAGUUUCAAAGUUUUGGUAAUCUUUCACACCUAUGGAUGUAUGGACCUACAGGGCUGCAAUAUUCUUCUAAAAAUGUUCUGUCACAUCUUUUAUGACAAAGUCAUACACACCUGGAAUGGCCUGAGGGUGAGAUGAGAGAAUUUCAGUUUUGGGUGAACUAUCCCUUUAAAACUAUUGUGUUUCAAUAACGCUGCCUUCAGGCCCUUUGGUGUCAGUCCAGUAUUACAUAUUAAGAAAAACUUAUUGAGAAAUGUGAUGCUUAUAUAUGUGACAAAUUUAUUGUAUUUUUUUUCACCCUCUCAUUUUAAGCAUUUUGUUUACCACAGCUCAGAAAUACAAUGACCUUUCAUCAAUUGAUCAACUUUGAUCAGGGAAGAGACCCAAAACCCCCAUUAUUUUUAGAUAUGGUUAAGCCUUUUUAAUUAAAGGCUUUCAUGGCGCAUCGAUCGUGGAACGGAAAUGUCUCUUUCCAUGUCAUCUAUUCCUUGUUGUCCCUUGUGUGCCUAUAAUUCAGCAUAAGGCUUAUAGAUCAUCUGUUGCUUUUGAUACUCCAAUGAAGGAAUGAAAUUGU